GACGAACGCUGGCGGCGUGCCUAAUACAUGCAAGUAGAACGCUGAAGGAGGAGCUUGCUUCUCUGGAUGAGUUGCGAACGGGUGAGUAACGCGUAGGUAACCUGCCUGGUAGCGGGGGAUAACUAUUGGAAACGAUAGCUAAUACCGCAUAAUAGUAGAUGUUGCAUGACAUUUGCUUAAAAGGUGCAAUUGCAUCACUACCAGAUGGACCUGCGUUGUAUUAGCUAGUUGGUGGGGUAACGGCUCACCAAGGCGACGAUACAUAGCCGACCUGAGAGGGUGAUCGGCCACACUGGGACUGAGACACGGCCCAGACUCCUACGGGAGGCAGCAGUAGGGAAUCUUCGGCAAUGGACGGAAGUCGGACCGAGCAACGCCGCGGGAGUGAAGAAGGUUUUCGGAUCGUAAAGCUCUGUUGUAAGAGAAGAACGAGUGUGAGAGUGGAAAGUUCACACUGUGACGGUAGCUUACCAGAAAGGGACGGCUAACUACGUG
rnacentral:rRNA from 1 species